rnacentral:rRNA from 1 species
AAAUUGAAGAGUUUGAUCAUGGCUCAGAUUGAACGCUGGCGGCAGGCCUAACACAUGCAAGUCGAACGGUAACAGGAAGCAGCUUGCUGUUUCGCUGACGAGUGGCGGACGGGUGAGUAAUGUCCGUGAAACUGCCUGCUGGAGGGGGAUAACUACUGGAAACGGUAGCUAAUACCGCAUAACGUCGCAAGACCAAAGAGGGGGACCUUCGGGCCUCUUGCCAUCGGAUGUGCCCAGAGGGGAGUAGCUUGCUGGU